rnacentral:rRNA from 1 species
GGGAUUGCCUUAGUAACGGCGAGUGAAGCGGCAAGAGCUCAAAUUUGAAAUCUGGCCCUUUUGGGGUCCGAGUUGUAAUUUGUAGAGAGUGUUUCGGGCGAGUCCGCGGUCUAAGUCUAUUGGAACAUAGUGUCAUAGAGGGUGAGAAUCCCGUAUGUGGCCGCGGUCCGAGCCCAUGUGAAACCUCUUCGACGAGUCGAGUUGUUUGGGAAUGCAGCUCAAAAUGGGUGGUAAAUUUCAUCUAAAGCUAAAUACCGGCUGGAGACCGAUAGCGCACAAGUAGAGUGAUCGAAAGAUGAAAAGCACUUUGGAAAGAGAGUUAAACAGUACGUGAAAUUGUUGAAAGGGAAGCGUUUGCAACCAGACUUGCCCGUAGGCGAUCAGUCGCUGUUCUCAGCGGUGUACUCGUCCUACGAUCAGGCCAGCAUCGGUUUCGGCGGUCGGAUAAAGGCCGAUGGGAAUGUAGCUUUCCUUCGGGGGAGUGUUAUAGCCCUCGGUGCAAUGCGGCCAGCCGAGACCGAGGACCGCGCUUCGGCUAGGAUGCUGGCGUAAUGGUUGUAAACGACCCGUCUUGAAACACGGACCAAGGAGUCUAACAUCUAUGCGAGUGUUUGGGUGUCAAACCCAUGCGCGGAAUGAAAGUGAACGGAGGUGAGACCCCUUGAGGGCGCAUCAUCGACCGAUCCAGAUGUCUUCGGAUGGAUUUGAGUAUGAGCAUAGCUGUUGGGACCCGAAAGAUGGUGAACUAUGCCUGAAUAGGGUGAAGCCAGAGGAAACUCUGGUGGAGGCUCGCAGCGGUUCUGACGUGCAAAUCGAUCGUCAAAUUUGGGUAUAGGGGCGAAAGACUAAUCG